rfam:Schistosoma haematobium scaffold293_40, whole genome shotgun sequence.
AUCCGGCUGACGAGUCAGAAAUAGGAUGAGACGCGCGUCGUGGAU